rnacentral:rRNA from 1 species
CUUUGCUAUAGUGGCUGAAAGCACCUGAUCUCCUCUAAAUUUGGAAGCUAAGCAGACCAGGGCCUGUGAAUAGCUGGUUGGGAAAAAAAAUCACCUUAUAACAGGCAAAAGU